rnacentral:misc_RNA from 1 species
CAACCCUCAAGCCCUGGCUUGGUGUUGGGCCUCUGUCCGCUAGUCGGGCGGGCCUGAAAAUCAGUGGCAAUGCUUCUCCAGCUUCAAGCGUAGUAAAUCUGUCUUCGCCUUGGGUGGCUGGAUGUUGCUUUGGCCAAACCAACCUCCAUAUAUUUUAUUAUC